rnacentral:rRNA from 1 species
GGAAGAAAUUCAUUCGUGUAUCGCUAUUGACUGGACUAUGUAUGUUUGACGAUAAAUAAGUCUAGUUAUCUUUUUGAUAAUUUUAGAUUUAUAUGUUGCUAUAUAUAUGUCUUGUGUCUGAUAGUGAACGCGUGCAUUUUUCUUCUGGUAGGACGUUGCGAUCCGUUAGAAAUAUUAUCAAUCUAUGAUUAAUGGAAAAAGUUCAUUGAUACAUAUUUUUAUAUGUUAAUAUUAAUGAGACCGUUUAAUCUGAUUGAUUUAUCUGACGGUAGAUUAAAGGUUAAAAGUCGCUAUAAUAUUAGCGUUAGAGGCAAGACAAAUAUAUGAAUUGUGUAAAGACCUUAACAUUAUUUAUAGUGUUAAUGUUCUCGGUAAUCGGUAUUUAUAUCAAUUCCGAGCCGUUUAUGUAUUGUUAGUCGAGCAAAUCUCUGACAGACUUUAUUAUUUCAAAUAAAACCAAUCAGCAACGCUAUUGCUUUGGGUACUUUCAGGACCCGUCUUGAAACACGGACCAAGGAGUCUAGCAUGUACGCAAGCCAUUGGGAUUGAUAAACCUAUAGGCAAAAUGAAAGUAAAAAUCAAUUUAUCUUGUAUGAAUUGAAGGGAAGAUGAAUAUUAUUUCUAUGAAAUAUAAUUUCGCAUUCCCGGGGCGUUUAUAUUUUGUUUGUUUGUUUUACAUUCAAAUGAGAUUAUGCGCACCAAGAG